ensembl:lncRNA
AAACAUUUCACAUCAAACCAGUCUGACCUCAUUUCACUCUGAAUGUGUAAAUUAUGCAGGAAUUUUAAAGAGGUGUGUAGAAGCUCUGUAGUGAAAGGCAGGGCGGUCUCCGGCAGGGGGAGCAGGUCCGCUGGGCUGCUGCUCCUCCUGGAUAAAUAGCUGGAGCUGGAGAGCUGUGCUAUUUUAAGCGGCUGUCAGGCUGCUGGGGUAAUUCCUGUCACUCUGUGAGGCAGGGCUCCUUCUCAGGCACAGCCGCUCCAUUACUCCAACACGAUCAACACCGAGACCUGCUCACCUGAAACCGGCCCAGCUCCAGAAACAGACCUCUAACUUUAGACUUUAGAGGAGAAAUUUCCCACCAAACUAAACAGAGUUUUAUCUGAGGAGUGUGGAGUUCAGGAAGAACAGCGAGGAGUGAAUCCAGUCCAGAGGGAAUAAGAAACAUAAACAUGGGGGACGAGCCAGUGAGCACGGAGCUCUCCGAGCCGAUGGAGGAGGACGCUCAGACCAGCGGAGCGGAUAAGAUCGACAUGUCGUUAGACGAGAUCAUCAAGUUGAAUAAAAAAGAGCAGCAAGAGAAAAGAGCCGCGAUCAGGGCAAGAAACAAACGAGCGGCAAACAAGAAUAACGUCCUGAAGAAGCUGAACCAGACUCCACAGGCGCGGCGAGGCCUCAGACGAGGAGCUCUGCAGUACCAGGGGUCCUUCAGGUCACGUGGGCUGAACCGAGCCAGAGGUGUGGGCAGGAGAGGGUCACUGAGGGGGAGUGGCCAGAGUCCUCUAAACAGAGCCUCUGCAAGCACAGCGAGAGAAGAGCUGCUGGAUCAGAGCACGGUUCCACAGCAAGGCACAUUCCGAGGGCGAGGAAGAGGAAGGGGAAGGGGAAGAGGAAGAGGAGGACUGAACAGGAGUGCAUUUUCAGCAAGCACUCAGAGAACUCCUCAGAGAGGUGGCAGACCGUUCACAUUAGACAGAGGGUUCACAGCCACAAGAGGCACUGGCAAAGUGGAAAGAUAUCAGAAAAUAAGAAGUCCAUCAACUUCAGCAUCUUCUCCAGGAUCCACACUGACUGUAUCACUGCCCAAUGCACAUUCUGCAACUGAAACUCAGGUGAGGCCUAGGCGGGGUGGUGUACUACUACGAGGCAGGUCAUCUGAAGCAGCAGGAGGCUCUUUGCCCAAAGGCAUCCAACUACGCUUCAAUUACAAAGCAACAACCAACCAGACUGGACUAUCCCUGAAUGACCGAUUCACAAGUCUGAGGUUUAGUGGGCGAGGUCCAAGAGCUGAGAGAGGAAGUGGGCGUGGUCGAGGGCGGGGCAGAGGAACAGGAGAAAUUAGAGGCAGAGGAAGAGGAGAAAUUAGAGGCAGAGGAGACAUUAGAGGUAGAGGAAGAGGAGGAGGAAGAGGCAUGAUGAGGGGCGGGAUGACCAUGACAAGAGGAGGAAGAGGAGGAAGAAUGGUUGGAAGAGGAACUCGUGGAGCCCGUGGAGCGAGAGGGGCAGGACGAAUGGUCAUUCUUCAAUGAUUCUCACAACAAAGAUUUUUCCAAUGCAAGGCCAUGUGUAGGCUAUAGAAUAGGCAGUUUGUUCUAUUUCUGUACCGUCCUUUUGAACCUUUUUAUUUAAGAUUGUUCUGAAAAAACUGUUUUAAAAUAACCACCAAAUUCAUGAAUCCAGAGUGACCAUAUACAUGUGCUGGAAAAUCUGAUAACUGAGCUAGAAUCCAGCUCUCUUUAUUUGAUUCUGUAUUUUAUUAAGGCCUAGAAAUCAGUAUGCUGUUUACAUGACCACUUGAAUAAUCAGAUAGAGUUUGAAAUCUAAGUAUGAUUGGUUAAUUGAGUGCAUGUAAACAAGCUCAGUGACUGGAGUGAGGUGUAACAAACUCAUUUGUGUUUUUAGCCUUAAUUUUUAGCCAUGGAAACAGUUUUUUUAAGCUAUUUAUACUUAGAAAUUAAUCAAUGUUUUAAAAAUUAGAAUGUUUUAAAUACACAUCAAAAUACAAUGAAGUGCCUCUGAAUAUAUUGUAAAUAUGUUUGUAUUUGUUUACAUGGUUUACAUUUGGACAAAACCAAUAAGAAAAAGUGUUUUUAAAACCUUAGAAAAACUGUACAUUUGCUAAAUUGUGUGGCAUAAAGCCAGACCAACAAGCCAUAUUAAAUUAAUUCUUUCA